rnacentral:rRNA from 2 species
UAAGCAUGUAGGCUGGUUGUCCAGGCAAAUCCGGAUAAUCAAGGCUGAGGUGUGAUGACGAGGCACUACGGUGCUGAAGUAACAAAUGCCCUGCUUCCAGGAAAAGCCUCUAAGCAUCAGGUAACAUUAAAUCGUACCCCAAACCGACACAGGUGGUCAGGUAGAGAAUACCAAGGCGCUUGAGAGAACUCGGGUGAAGGAACUAGGCAAAAUGGUGCCGUAACUUCGGGAGAAGGCACGCUGGUGUGUAGGUGA